UGUUUCUGUUUUGUGGUCGAUUCUGGGAUCCUUUUCUUGGUGUGUCUUGAUGUUUUCUAUUGGCUAAAGACAUGUCUCUGUGAAACUGACAAUCUCAGGUAGGAGCUGCUGGUUUGUGGUUGGCAGUAUGGAUCACAGUCUGCGACUCAUGAGGAGCUGGGCUGGAGACAUGAAGAGGUUGUUAACAGGCCAUCCAUCCAAGAUCAUCUAUCUGAGCUGCUGAAAACUGCCUCGGUACGGAUCUGUUGGAGCUUUGUGUCACUGACUGUAUUUCUGCAAAUUCCUGUUCCGUGUCAAAUGGCUUAUGCAAGACUGAAUCCAUAAAGGGGGUGGUCUGUGGAGACUGUGGGCGAUUCCUUCUGCUGUCAUUUAAACAUGAGCAGGAGUAAUGACGGGAUUUAAAUGGACGAAGCUAAUAUUAUGCCAGAGUCCGCUGCUUAUGCUGUAACCAUAAAGCAACCAGGACAACACACCUGGAGUGACCGAGAGCAGGAUGAAGAAAGAAUCGGACGAGAAAAUAUCAACUGGUGCCCAUGAGGAGAUAUAUUGUUCUUGGACCUGCUUUUUCUGUUUAGUAAUAAGUGGUUUUAUGUGGUUACAUAAAAGUAAUUUAAUAUUCAAUCCACAAGCUAAAUUUCCUACAUUUUCUUAAAAGGGUAGUUGACCCAAAAAGGAAAAUUCUGUCAUUUACACAAACAGUUUGGUUACAAACAUUUCUCACAAUAUCUGCCUUCCUGUUUAUCAGAACAAAGAAAUGUAUGCGGGUUUGUAACAACAUGAGAGUGUGUAAAUGACAUAAUUUUCAUUUUUGGGUGAAGUACCCCUUUAACAUUUUUAUACACAGGGGUAGGGGUGUGCAGCGGAGUCAGUAUUUGUAUCUGUAACAGUCUCAAAAUUAUUUGUAUCUGUAUUUGUAUUCGGAUUAAACCGGAAGUGGGUGGGUUGACAACUCAUAUUACAUUAAAAUGGCAUUUUAAAUGCAUUUUUGCUUUUUAUUAUAAUUAUACCUUAAAUAACUGUAAAUAUUUAUUCAAAAUAAUAAUACAAAAUUUUAAUCAAAAAGACAAAUAACUUGAUUCUCGUUAGUAAUACUCAUGGAAAGCAAACAACUCAUUUUUAAAGCCUCAUACAGCUUGUGCUAUGCAUCAUUGUAUUGUAGCAUUAAAAUAACAAACUUGAAAGCACGUUGACAAAACUGUAGGCUAGAUCACCUUUAAAUGUUUAUUGUGCCUGUCAGCACAGUUCCAUGAGACCCAUUCUUUCUAAAUGAGUGCGAUGUUUUCAGAAAAAAAUAAGUAGCCUACAUUAAUCCCUAGUCUAGCGAUUUAAAUAUAGUAAUUAAACAUCUAAAAUUAUCGUUAUUUGUAAGUUUUCUAAAAGAGGGAAAUAUAACCUAAUACUACUCAUAUCCAUGUCUGACAUCUUGGUUUCAGUUUAAAAACAUGCAGGAAUUUGAAAAUAAAAUGCAGGACUUGCUUGAUGCUUAAAGAGUUAUUAAGGGAGAUAAAGUUCGGGAACUGAUUUAUGUUAAAAAGUUAUUAAGAUCGACAAACUCGCGCUGACUGACAGAUCCGAAAUGCAACGCAGGGACACGCAAGUGGCGCAGUAUAUGCACAGAAUAGUUCAAAAACAUCUGUUUUGAUAAGAAUUUACGAAAGCAUAAUAAGCAUUAGAACAAACUUGCUGAGCUCAUUUUUAUCUAUGUCCAUAUAGCGUUUGCGCGAAUAUAACGAAUUGUUUAAAAAAAACUUUCUUAUU